GAUGAACGCUGGCGGCGUGCUUAACACAUGCAAGUCGAGCGAUUUACUUCGGUAAAGAGCGGCGGACGGGUGAGUAACGCGUGGGUAACCUGCCCUGUACACACGGAUAACAUACCGAAAGGUAUGCUAAUACGAGAUAAUAUGCUUUUAUCGUAUGGUAGAAGUAUCAAAGCUUUUGCGGUACAGGAUGGACCCGCGUCUGAUUAGCUAGUUGGUAAGGUAACGGCUUACCAAGGCGACGAUCAGUAGCCGACCUGAGAGGGUGAUCGGCCACAUUGGAACUGAGACACGGUCCAAACUCCUACGGGAGGCAGCAGUGGGGAAUAUUGCACAAUGGGCGAAAGCCUGAUGCAACAACGCCGCGUGAGCGAUGAAGGCCUUCGGGUCGUAAAGCUCUGUCCUCAAGGAAGAUAAUGACGGUACUUGAGGAGGAAGCCCCGGCUAACUACGUGCCAGCCGCCGCGGUAA
rnacentral:rRNA from 1 species